UUCGGUUCGGAUUUCGGAUUCCAGAUUUUAUGCCCAUGCAUAGUGUGGACUCUGUUUUUGCCUGUUUGAGCGUAUCCCUAGGAUCCAUAUCAAGAUUACUAAAAACUUUAUUAUUCCUUCCUUUCCAGUACCAUAGAAUCCAUGCAAACUGAUGAUCAUCUAGUUGCGGAGAAACCCGCCAGAAAAGAUGAUCCAUAUUUGUAAAAAAAGACCUUGUUGGAAAGAUAGCGGGAUUUGAUAGUAUCUUCGAUAGUGCCCAAACCUGUAGUGCUGGAGGACAUUCAAAAAACACAUGAUUAAUUGAUUCCUCAUCAGC
rnacentral:lncRNA from 1 species